AAAAAAAAUAUUAUACGAAGAAAAACAUAAAUAUAAAAAACUAAAUUUAAAAAAAAAAUGUAAAACAAAAAAUAUACCAGAAUCUAGUUGAUAUUAAAACAUUGUUAUAUAGAUAAGCACUAUAAGCACUGUACCUUUGUGUUUGAAAGUACAGAACAUACAAGUAGUUACUCAUUUAUUUAAGAAGGUACCAUCUUUUCUUUUUUUUUGAAGGAAUUUUAAAUUUAUUCAUCUCAAAAAAAACUUUUGUACAGAAAAACUGCAAACAUUUCUAUGAAAAUAUAUAAAGAAAUUUCUUUACUACUCUCUUCUAAAUUCUCUCCAUCCAAACUUCCAUAGACUUCUCAUACUUCCUCCAAUUCUUCCUUCUCAAAGAUGUAAUUCUGUUUCUCACCAAUUUCUCCAACCUUGCUAUCAAACAAGAAGUUGGCUGCGACUUCUCUUCUGCUCUUCUUAUAUUUCUCUCCUGCCAAAGUGCAUAAACAACCGCCUGAAAGCAGUAUCUAAACAGGAACUUAACACAUCUCUCCCAAGUCCCAUUCACCACCAAUCUAACCACUUGAUCCCAUUGGUAAAUAACUCCACUACCCACAAGAUUUCCCACAGUCACUCUCCAAACUUCCUUUGAGUAUGCACACUCAAAGAAAAUGUGAUCUCUGGUUUCCAUCUCUCUUUUGCAGAGCCAACAAAUAGAUAUUGCUUGAGGGUUCCAUCUUAGAACCCUAUCUCCUGUUGCUAAUCUAUUUUGAAUAGCAAUCCACGCAAGAAAAGCAAAUUUCAGAGUUGCUUCAGGAAACCAUAUCCCUGUACUCCAAGAAACUUUAGGCGCAUGAGCUCUUAUGAGAUUCCAUGUUUGAGACGUACUAAAACCUGUCCUGAAAUCUCCACUCUCCCUUUCCAUAGACAGUCAUCCUCCAACAUGUUAAGUCCUCUGUUUUUUAACUUCAUAAUUUCUUGUUCUAUUAGCCGAAACACAGGGGUUCGCUGUCUUCUAACUCUGUAAAUCUGUAUUGCUCUUUCAACUGUUGCAUUUAACGGAAUGCCCAGCGCCAUACACCCUCCAUCUCCUGAUACUUCAAUCAGCUUUCCCAAUGGCGACCAAUCUUCCAACCAGAGAAAGUAUUCGAGCCACUAUUAAUCUCCUUUUUUGUUAGCUGCCGAGCCACCGGUCUAAGAAGUUACACAUUCGAAUAUAAAUUCCAGAAUGCAAUAAUGCAAGGAGUUGAAGAAUUUUUUGAUAUCAGUCAAACACUACUUCUGGAAUAGACUGAUAGAAAAGACACAGGUUCGAAUUAAUUGAAAUCACUGAAAUGUGAUAAGGAUACGACAAUGUUUCACCGACUCGUUCACUUAACAACUACAAAUUUCAUACCAGUAAAUAACUAAAUACCCUUUUUGUGUUAUGAGAUAUCCCAAAAUAGACAUACGCUGAUAGAGAAAAAAAAAACAGGUGUAUGAACUGAAAAGUUUGAAAUCAUUGAGAUCGUCCCUGAUAAUGAAUAGAACAACGUUUCAACGACUAGUGCACACAACACGCUUGCUCACUCAACGCCAGAUACAUAUUCAACAACAGUCUUUAGAAGUCCAUUCUGUUUUGGGUAGAGAAACUAUAAAAUAAAUUUAUAAUGGAUAGAGAUGUGUGCAAAUAGCAGGUUACUUGAAUCAAAAGACAACUCAAGUCAAUAGUUGAGGUUUAUUUUAUAUUCCAUCUUGUUUAUUUAACCUUUUUGUAUAUUUUACCAAAAGGUUAUCAGUUUAUUUCAGCUUCCAAUUUAAAAGUACUAACACGAGAGGUGGGAAUUUUCCAAACGUACAUCAAAACCAAAUGCUAAGGAUGAGAGGCUGCGUGUCAACAGUCAAUCCAACAAUAACAAACUGAAAUGAACAAAUUCUACACUUCGUUUUAAAACCAUUUCUCACUAACCAAACUCACCGUCAACAAGUAAUAGAUAAUACUGACAGAGAUGUGUACUAAGUGUCAGAUUACAAAUCAAUCAUCAAAAAGGAUUAAAUCCUCAGACAGGGAUAACUGUUUUUUGAUAUUUGUACUCAUCAUCCACAACCAAAUUAUAAUUGAAAUCCUUCUUAAUAUCUCAAUAAAUAAAUCAUACAGCAUGAAUUUUUUUAAAUUGGGUUUUAGAUAAUAAGAACUCAGUCCCUUAGAUGUUCAUAAUGAAAUGCGAUCAUUACCGCAAUCAUUACAGGUCUGUAAAAUGACUCAUCACUGUUCUUCCGACAUAUAAAAACAGACAAACACACAGGCAAGAUAUGUAGUCACUCAAGUUAUGCUCCCAAAUCGGCAUCAAUACUAGAAUUAACAGUAUUGAUGCUUUUAAUUGAUUAGGGAGGAUAUUAGAAUAACGAGAGCAUCACAAUUGAUAUUGCUUCAAGGGAACGAAUCAUAUGGGAACGGACAAAUCCACAUCGACUAUCUGAUGAAGCCAUUCAAACUCUAAACUAAAACAAUUAACAACAAAAUCAAAUUCACAAUACCUAUCAGAAUAAUCAAGAUUAAAAACAAAAAGAACUCAGUCCCUUAGAUGUUCAUAAUGAAGUGCGAUCAUUACCGCUAUCAUUACAGGUCUGUAAAUUGACUCAUCACUGUUCUUCCCAACACAAACAUA